rnacentral:misc_RNA from 1 species
GCAAACUUGGUCAUUUAGAGGAAGUAAAAGUCGUAACAAGGUUUCCGUAGGUGAACCUGCGGAAGGAUCAUCAGUGAUUCGGGGGGGGGCCAACUAUGUUGUGCUGUACCCCCAACCAAUCUUGUGUGAACUGUAAUAAGCACUACGUGUGAAGGAAGGGUUGGCGGCACGGAGGAGGGGAGACCCACCCACCGCCGCCGCCACCCUCACACGAGCAUUAUCUCCUUAUCAAUCUUGUCUAACAUUAAACACUCAAUUACACAACUUUUAACAAUGGAUCUCUUGGCUCUCGCAUCGAUGAAGAACGCAGC